GUGUGGUGUAGUGGUUAGAACAUUGGACUAGGACCUGGGAGACCAGGGUUCAAAUCCCUACUUAACCA
rnacentral:tRNA from 1 species